GUCCACGCCGUAAACGAUGAGCACUAGAUGCUGUAGAAAUUGACCUCCGCAGCGUCGCAGUUAACGCGUUAAGUGCUCCGCCUGGGGGAGUACGGCCGCAAGGCUAAAACUCAAAGGAAUUGACGGGGGCCCGCACAAGCGGUGGAGCAUGUGGUUUAAUUCGAUGCAACGCGCAGAACCUUACCCAGGCUAGAAAAUUAGAAAUCCGUCAGAAACGAUGGAGUGCCCGCAAGGGAAUCUAAGUCCAGGUGCUGCAUGGCUGUCGU
rnacentral:rRNA from 1 species